rnacentral:rRNA from 1 species
UACGUAGGGUGCAAGCGUUGUUCGGAAUCAUUGGGCGUAAAGCGCGUGUAGGCGGUUAGUUAAGUCGAUUGUGAAAUCCCUGGGCUCAACCGAGGAAGUGCAGUCGAAACUAACUAGCUAGGACGGCAGAGGAAGGUGGAAUUCCAAGUGUAGAGGUGAAAUUCGUAGAUAUUUGGAGGAAUACCUGUGGCGAAGGCGGCCUUCUGGACCGGUCCUGACGCUGAGACGCGAAAGCGUGGGGAGCAAACAGG